CUGAGUGGAAAACUUGUCAUGCACAAGAAUCCCGUGAUGGCACAGAACUAGGGGAGUUUAGUACGCGUGUAUGAAGCGGCAUCGCAAGGGAAACUCCCACGAGAUGGCAAAAAGUCAUCAGCUAUAACAGAAAAGAGGAAGCCCCUGUCAGUGGGUCACGGUGGUAUGCUGGAGGUAUCCCAGCUGACUUCGGGCAAGAGGCGGGGUACACCCUGGACUGGCCGGCGCCUCUCUCCAUUUACCCAGCAGCAUGUCACAUGCAAACAUCUCCGAGGCUCCCAGGAUCGACUUACCACUCAGUGGCUCCUCAGCUGAUUCGGAGGAAAGGAGUCGUGCGGGAGCAGCUGACCAGCAGCCUCGCAUCUAUACACACCGACUGGCUGUCAAGACUACCAUUCAGAUAGAGUCUGACACAGGAUGAAGAAGCCACACCCCCCUCCCCAACCAGCACCACCGUCGAGUUAUCUGACCAGCUGACUUUCUGGCUGGCUGCAGGGAUGGGUAGACAAUUCUAUUAAGCUUUGCUAGAGUUGCUAUGGUGGCGAAGAUAAAAGAGGCCGACAAAGCAGCUGAAUUACAAUUACAGAAAUGAAAUUAACUGCUGAACAACGGAACACAAAGAAUAUCUGUUGGAACGACUAAGAGACUGCAUGUUGACUUGUUGAGCAGCGGGCUCACUGAUUUGUUGCCUGACUCGUUCACGCUUGGCGUGCACACGCCUGCAAACUAGGUUUUUUACCUAUUGACUUUAACAUGUACAAUGGGAGAAAUCAUUCUUUGAUCCCCUGCUGACCUACCAUAAAAAUUACGCAGUUUAUGUUACUUAUAAUUAUUUCCCCCACUGUAGUUUUUAACCUUCCCUUUUAUUCCUUGUGAUUGUCUCUUGCCUCUGUUGGUGUGCUGUGUAAUUAGAGGGUGGGGCCAGCUAUAGUAAGUCAGCUCUGGUCACACACACACAAACACAAAUGCACACAUAAUCAUUUGAAGCAAGUGCAGCCUCAGGUCAUGCAGGUGGGAAAAAAGGGUGUGUGUGUGGUGUGUGUGUGUGUGUGUGUGUGUACGCAUGCCUUAAAAGAGUAGUAAAGCAGGAAGAAUUACAGACGUGAAACGUGCACACAAUUCUUCUUGAUAGGAGGAAAUGCAGAUUGUAUCUGUUACGCAAGUCAACUCACAUGUUGCACAAGUGACAGCAACUUUAAAAUAGAUUCAAGAAAAUAAUAGCGGUGGUUGUCCAUUAUAAUAAUUGAAUUUAAAAUGAUCUAGAUGAGACUUCCAAGAGGACGGUAUAUCAGUCUAACCUGAUUAUUGAGCUGUGCUUGCUAGGACGCUGUCACAUAUUGUUCAUAUAUCAUAUUUUUUCCCCAAUCUCACAGGUGGCUGGAAGGUCAAUAGAACACAUGCCCACACAUUUGCGAUUUAGCAUUUACAGCUCCACAAAUUUGCAAACAUCUCAUUAACCAUAGGUUGGUAAUAAUAUACUGUAUGUGAAAAAACAAGUCAAACGUACAGCAUACUAGGGGUGUAUCUAUACAACUUUUACACUUCUGAUACAAUACUGAUAUUGCAGCCUCGAGCAUCUGAUAUCAGAAUCAAUCAUACAUACUUGUGUUAUAAAUAUGUUCAGAUGUUGGAAGGGUAAUGACGUGUGGGAUUCAGAGUUGAGUUUUAGUUUGCUAUGGGUUAUGGCCGCAACAGUAGCCCGUGUUAUUAUUAUUAUGAUUAUUGUUGUUAUUGUUAUUAAUAUUACUAUUAUUAUCAGAAUUAUUAUUGUUACUUUUAUUGUGCAUGUUGUGAGAUAAUUCAAACCUGGAAUAAAAGUUUUU